rnacentral:rRNA from 1 species
UACGUAGGGGGCUAGCGUUGUCCGGAAUCAUUGGGCGUAAAGAGCGCGUAGGCGGCUAGAUAAGUCCGGCGUGAAAGUCACAGGCUCGACCUGUGAAUGCCGCUGGAAACUGUCUGGCUAGAGUCCGGAAGGGGCGAGUGGAAUUCCGAGUGUAGAGGUGAAAUUCGUAGAUAUUCGGAAGAACACCAGUGGCGAAGGCGACUUACUGGACGAUUGUUGACGCUGAGGUGCGAAAGCGUGGGGAGCAAACAGG